rnacentral:rRNA from 1 species
AAAACGACUCUCGACAACGGAUAUCUCGGCUCUCGCAUCGAUGAAGAACGUAGCAAAAUGCGAUACUUGGUGUGAAUUGCAGAAUCCCGUGAACCAUNGAGUCUUUGAAAGCAAGUUGCGCCCGAAGCCAUUAGGCCGAGGGCAAGUUUGCCUGGGCGUAAAGC